GGAGGAGUGGCAGAGUGGUUGAUCGCGGCGGUCUUGAAAACCGUUGUACCGAAAGGUACCGGGGGUUCGAAUCCCUCCUCCUCCG
rnacentral:tRNA from 1 species